rnacentral:rRNA from 1 species
GAUGAACGCUGGCGGCGUGCCUAAUACAUGCAAGUCGAGCGAACAGACGAGGAGCUUGCUCCUCUGACGUUAGCGGCGGACGGGCGAGUAACACGUGGAUAACCUACCUAUAAGACUGGGAUAACUUCGGGAAACCGGAGCUAAUACCGGAUAAUAUAUUGAACCGCAUGGUUCAAUAGUGAAAGACGGUUUUGCCGUCACUUAUAGAUGGAUCCGCGCCGCAUUAGCUAGUUGGUAAGGUAACGGCUUACCAAGGCAACGAUGCGUAGCCGACCUGAGAGGGUGAUCGGCCACACUGGAACUGAGACACGGUCCAGACUCCUACGGGAGGCAGCAGUAGGGAAUCUUCCGCAAUGGGCGAAAGCCUGACGGAGCAACGCCGCGUGAGUGAUGAAGGUCUUCGGAUCGUAAAACUCUGUUAUUAGGGAAGAACAAAUGUGUAAGUAACUAUGCACGUCUUGACGGUACCUAAUCAGAAAGCCACGGCUAACUACGUG